UCUCCUCAAAAAUUACUCUUAAAAGUGGCUGCUCUUUCAUAUGUGUGUCAGUAGGUGGGAGAGAGGAGAGGUUAUGUCUAUGCUCAGUGAUAAUGACCUCUGAUCAUCUGGAUGAUUGCAGCCUACCAUU
ensembl:snoRNA